CCUACGGGAGGCAGCAGUGAGGAAUAUUGGUCAAUGGGCGCGAGCCUGAACCAGCCAAGUCGCGUGAGGGAAGACGGCCCUACGGGUUGUAAACCUCUUUUGCCGGGGAGCAACGGGCGCCACGUGUGGCGCCACUGAGAGUACCCGGAGAAAAAGCAUCGGCGAACUCCGUGCCAGCAGACGCGGUAAUACGGAGGAUGCGAGCGUUAUCGGGAUUUAUUGGGUUUAAAGGGUGCGUAGGCGGGGCGUUAAGUCAGGGGUCAAAUUAAGGGGCUCACACCCUUCGCGCCAUUGAAACUGGCGCUCUUGAGUGGAAGAGAAGGAUGCGGAAUGCGUGGUGUAGCGGUGAAAUGCUUAGAUAUCACGCAGAACCCCGAUUGCGAAGGCAGCAUGCCGGCUUCCUACUGACGCUGAAGCACGAAAGCGUGGGGAUCGAACAGGAUUAGAUACCCGAGUAGUC
rnacentral:rRNA from 1 species